rnacentral:rRNA from 1 species
CAGUAGCCACGGUAAUACGUAGGUGGCAAGCGUUGUCCGGAAUUAUUGGGCGUAAAGGGCUCGCAGGCGGUUUCUUAAGUCUGAUGUGAAAGCCCCCGGCUCAACCGGGGAGGGUCGUUGGAAACUGGGAAACUUGAGUGCAGAAGAGGAGAGUGGAAUUCCACGUGUAGCGGUGAAAUGCGUAGAGAUGUGGAGGAACACCAACGGCGAAAGCACUCUGCUGGGCCGACACUGACACUGAGAGACGAAAGCUAGGGGAGCAAAUGGGAUUAGAUACCCCGGUAGUCCCUGUCUCUUAUAA